AGGACACCCUCCCUCACUGAGCCUAGGGGACACUGUCUGGGGUCCCGAGGCAGGGUCAGACCAAUCUGGCUCAGAAACGAAGCCCUGGGUCCCGCAGUUCCGCAAAAUUGCCGCUAGGGGUCCCCGUGGGAUCGCAUCGCAGCGCUCAGCUAACACUGCGUGUGCCAGAACAGGAGAACGCGACUCCAGCCCUUUUUGAGCGCCAGACCCGCUGCCCCGCUGGGAUCCAGCCCCUGGGCACCGCGCGUCCUUCCCUUUAAGCUGGUGGCCAUGCUGACGGACUGUCCAGGGCUAAUGCUGGCACCCACACGUCCCCAGAAUUGGCCCCUGGGGCUUGCUCCUGUUAGGCCCCCGGAGGAGCACUGGCCAUCUGAAAGAGACAGAAAGACAUUUUGCACUUCCAAGUGCAGCGGAGCCAGCAGAGGGCGCCAAAGCAGGAGGAAGAGUUUCAGAUAUUUCCUGCCUUGUUCAGAAACAACGCGGGGGCUUGCGGCUGUGGCUGAAAUUUGGACCUGGGUCUGCCUGUUCUGAGGCUCUUGUUGUCCAAUACCGUGGACUACCACCUAAAAAACUCGAGUUCCAGUUAUAACUCAGCUUGGUGGCUUUGGGCAAAUUCUCAAUUUCCUCAACUAUAAAGUGGAAACUGUACAUCAGUAGUGACCAUCUCACUGAGUCAUCAAAAUUGAAAUGACAAAGUAUAUGACAGUGCAAUGCACAUUGAAGGUUCCCCCUUAAAGCAAAAAGGCUCAUUUUCCAGUGGAAAGUUUGGGGCUGUCAACGCAAUACUUAGUGGGCUGUAAUUCAUCUUCUCUGUUCCUUGUACCUGUUUAAUCUUACCCACACCACCAGCUUGUUCUUGCCAUCUUUUGCUUUAUUUUUGCCUUUUAUAUCUUUGUGCACUACUUUAUUUUCAUUUAUUUUUCUGGUGUGUUUGAAUGUUUUGCCUCCUUAAUAUUGUGCUGAAAACCCAAAAUUCGGUGGCUUAAUUUUCUUAUGGACAGUUGGUCAUCUGAAAGGAAGGACCCAGUGGAAUUACCUCCCACCUGUGUGGUUCAGGCCAACUACGAUGUUUGUUGACCUGUCUUCAGGGGCCAUGCUGUUCCAGCAACUGCAGUAAUCAAGACUAUUCCAAACACAAGUUACAGAAUCGAAGAGGUUAGUGGCCCAUGAAGUGGAAAGACCAUGGAGAAGGCCUUCAGGGGUGGCAUCUGUGAAUGCAAGAAAUGUUCUACCUGAAUGGGUCCCCUUCUGCUCUGCCCUCCUCCAUGUUGGCUCCAUCCCUGGGCAAACUUCUCCAGUUGGUGGGAGAUGGAUAUGAUGCACACCUGAUCUUCACAGAGAAGGAGGGAGGGGACAUCUUUUCCAGCUGGGACUGUGAGAGACAGGGUUCUAGGAUGGCCUCCAAGAUUUCCCUACCUUAGUUCAUAUGCCCUGUGGGGUCCCUCUGGCUGUGGGAGGGACUGUAAAGAGGAUAGCUAGCACAUUCUGCCGUAGUGAAUGGCAGAGGGGCAGAUUAGCCUGGGUGGACCUGGCCUAAUCAGGCAACCCCUUUCCAAGCAGUUCUCUCCAGCUAGUUUCAGGAGUGUAAGGCAGAGAGAUGCACUGUGAUUGGCUCAAGAGAAAGCAAACAACCGUGUCAUGAAUUGCUGAGGGGGUCAUGUUGCAAGGUGUCCUCUGGGAUCAGAGUCC
rnacentral:lncRNA from 1 species